GAAACUGAAAAACUCCAGCAAAGACAUUCUGUAACACAAAAGGAAAAGGAAACUGAGGCACUCAAGCAAAGAAUUCAACAGAUUGAAGCCUCUUACCAACAGCUGCAAUAUAAUGCAGAACAUUCUGUAACACAAAAGGAAAAGGAAACUGAGGCACUCAAGCAAAGGAUCCAAGAGAUGGAAACCAAUGAACAGCAGCAACAACACUUAAG